rnacentral:rRNA from 1 species
UACGUAGGGUGCGAGCGUUAAACGGAAUUACUGGGCGUAAAGCGUGCGCAGGCGGCUUUUUAAGCCAGAUGUGAAAUCCCCGGGCUUAACCUGGGAACUGCAUUUGGAACUGGAAGGCUAGAGUGUAGCAGAGGGGGGUAGAAUUCCACGUGUAGCAGUGAAAUGCGUAGAUAUGUGGAGGAAUACCAAUGGCGAAGGCAGCCCCCUGGGUUAACACUGACGCUCAUGCACGAAAGCGUGGGGAGCAAACAGG